CCAUUCAGCACAAAGGGGAAGCCAAAAACAGACACAAAGAAAACCAGGACGGGAAUUGCACAAACUGGGUAGGGCAGCAGUUGACAGCCGCAAACAGAGUUCAACAGAAGUACCAUCACAGAGAGAAUCAGAGUACGUUAUUUAGUGCAAGAAGACAACAAGGUAACACCAGUAUGCGAAAGAUGCGUGAUGUCGAAGAAGGAUGGACACUGGCAGUCCCCGAUGAAAGACUGACACCCUACUCCCAACGGGAUGUAGUAGAAUCAGGGCCGGAGGUUGGCAAUCUGCACAACCGUAAUAAAACCACCUAUCGGCCUGUGGUCCUAUCAGUCAAAUUCGCAGCAAACCAUCCUGUCACCAUAACAUGGAAAGUUGAUGGCAAUAUCCUAGAGACGAUAACAGAUUGUUGCCGGUGGUCAAGAACCGAACUUGAAUUGAGUAGCCUGUGGCUUCAGAGGCAUCUGGAUAACAAUUACGAAGUCACCAUACUCGAUCAAGAGAUGAACGAGAGGAAUGGCAUCAACCCCGUGAGGACCUCCUGCAAAGUCUGCAUUAACUAAGGAAGACGGUCUCGAAUUCAGUGCUGCCUGGUCCCAGCCUUGCGACUUCGUUGGACUUUGGAUUGGAGUCCGCUGAUUCGGAUCCUGUGAUGGGGGGGUGGACUUGACCGAGGUUUGCUGGCGGGACUCAACUAUAUGCAAUCAAAUCAUUUCCUCAGUGGCAAACCCACUUUCUUAGUUAUUUCUUUCAAUCUUUUUAAUACUUAUGAUACCAUUUUGAGGUUUAAAAGCUAUUAUCAAAUUGCUUUCUGACCAAACAGUUUUUUAAAUGCAAAGAUCGCACGAUGCGAAAAAAUCUCCAAACACUAAACCUGAUCAAAGUGCGGUGGAUAACAGCAAGUGAAGUCCAAUAUGAUGAAUAAAUGUAAUGACUAUUACAUAAUGGUUUAGAUGUGUUGACACACCUAUACAAAGACAAAAUUACAAAGAGACUUCAAAAAAUGCUGCACGUGCCACUUUUCAAGUUGAAGUCAUAACUUUCGUACAUAGCCUUAGCCAUGGAGUGGUGACACUGUGGGCUACUGAAAUAAAGUAAUACUUCACUGUGAAAUAAAAUCUGCCCUCGGUGCGCAAGGUCGAGAGUACAUUCACUGUAUCCACGUUAUCGGCUUUUUUUAAAAAUGGAAGUCCAUGAUGGAAGGGCUUGGGAUUUAAAAUAAAUCUACGGUGACAGAUACCCGAAGUGGCAGUAUAUCAGAUGGAAAACGAAACGGGCAAAGUGUCAAUUCUAUUUUGUGCUCCAUAGGACUUAUAAAUUACAUUAUUCCACUUCUUUCUGAAAAACGACGGAAACUUUCUUAGGCAGGACUGUG